GAUGAACGCUGGCGGCGUGCCUAAUACAUGCAAGUCGAGCGAACGGACGAGAAGCUUGCUUCUCUGAUGUUAGCGGCGGACGGGUGAGUAACACGUGGAUAACCUACCUAUAAGACUGGGAUAGCUUCGGGAAACCGGAGCUAAUACCGGAUAAUAUUUUGAACCGCAUGGUUCAAAAGUAAAAGACGGUCUUGCUGUCACUUAUAGAUGGAUCCGCGCUGCAUUAGCUAGUUGGUAAGGUAACGGCUUACCAAGGCAACGAUGCAUAGCCGACCUGAGAGGGUGAUCGGCCACACUGGAACUGAGACACGGUCCAGACUCCUACGGGAGGCAGCAGUAGGGAAUCUUCCGCAAUGGGCGAAAGCCUGACGGAGCAACGCCGCGUGAGUGAUGAAGGUCUUCGGAUCGUAAAACUCUGUUAUUAGGGAAGAAUAUAUGUGUAAGUAACUGUGCACAUCUUGACGGUACCUAAUCAGAAAGCCACGGCUAACUACGUGCCAGCAGCCGCGGUAAUACGUAGGUGGCAAGCGUUAUCCGGAAUUAUUGGGCGUAAAGCGCGCGUAGGCGGUUUUUUAAGUCUGAUGUGAAAGCCCACGGCUCAACCGUGGAGGGUCAUUGGAAACUGGAAAACUUGAGUGCAGAAGAGGAAAGUGGAAUUCCAUGUGUAGCGGUGAAAUGCGCAGAGAUAUGGAGGAACACCAGUGGCGAAGGCGACUUUCUGGUCUGUAACUGACGCUGAUGUGCGAAAGCGUGGGGAUCAAACAGGAUUAGAUACCCUGGUAGUCCACGCCGUAAACGAUGAGUGCUAAGUGUUAGGGGGUUUCCGCCCCUUAGUGCUGCAGCUAACGCAUUAAGCACUCCGCCUGGGGAGUACGACCGCAGGGUUGAAACUCAAAGGAAUUGACGGGGACCCGCACAAGCGGUGGAGCAUGUGGUUUAAUUCGAAGCAACGCGAAGAACCUUACCAAAUCUUGACAUCCUUUGACAACUCUAGAGAUAGAGCCUUCCCCUUCGGGGGACAAAGUGACAGGUGGUGCAUGGUUGUCGUCAGCUCGUGUCGUGAGAUGUUGGGUUAAGUCCCGCAACGAGCGCAACCCUUAAGCUUAGUUGCCAUCAUUAAGUUGGGCACUCUAAGUUGACUGCCGGUGACAAACCGGAGGAAGGUGGGGAUGACGUCAAAUCAUCAUGCCCCUUAUGAUUUGGGCUACACACGUGCUACAAUGGACAAUACAAAGGGCAGCGAAACCGCGAGGUCAAGCAAAUCCCAUAAAGUUGUUCUCAGUUCGGAUUGUAGUCUGCAACUCGACUACAUGAAGCUGGAAUCGCUAGUAAUCGUAGAUCAGCAUGCUACGGUGAAUACAUUCCCGGGUCU
rnacentral:rRNA from 1 species